rnacentral:rRNA from 1 species
ACGGGUGAGUAAUACAUCGGAACGUAUCCUGGAGUGGGGGAUAGCCCGGCGAAAGCCGGAUUAAUACCGCAUACGCUCUGAGGAGGAAAGCGGGGGACCUUCGGGCCUCGCGCUCAAGGGGCGGCCGAUGGCGGAUUAGGUAGUUGGUGGGGUAAAGGCCUACCAAGCCAACGAUCCGUAGCUGGUCUGAGAGGACGACCAGCCACACUGGGACUGAGACACGGCCCAGACUCCUACGGGAGGCAGCAGUGGGGAAUUUUGGACAAUGGGGGCAACCCUGAUCCAGCAAUGCCGCGUGUGUGAAGAAGGCCUUCGGGUUGUAAAGCACUUUUGUCCGGAAAGAAAUCAUCGGGGCCAAUACCCCUGGUGGAUGACGGUACCGGAAGAAUAAGCACCGGCUAACUACGUGCCAGCAGCCGCGGUAAUACGUAGGGUGCGAGCGUUAAUCGGAAUUACUGGGCGUAAAGCGUGCGCAGGCGGUGCUGUAAGACCGAUGUGAAAUCCCCGGGCUUAACCUGGGAACUGCAUUGGUGACUGCAGCGCUGGAGUAUGGCAGAGGGGGGUGGAAUUCCACGU